CCUCGAGCCCUAUCGAUUUAUCCCUCUCCCCGAUGGAGCUCCUGGUUCUCCGGCGACAGCCGGCGAUCGGCGGCUGGGUCGCUCAACAGAAGAAGUGAUAACUGUCCCCUUUUCUCCUGUUCGUUUGUUUCUUCCUUGUCUCCGCCUUCUUCCCCCGCCUAUUAUACGUUGUCCUUCUCCGUCGAGAUCACUUCACCAUGGUCUCUCUUUUUUUCCCUUGUAACCCAAGAUCUGAAUUGCUGCGGGAUUAUUAUGCGUUUAAUCUUUGGUCUAUUGAUUUGAUCACUUCAUCUUUACAGAAUGUAACUAGUCAUUGUCCUUUUAAAUAUUUUGACAUCAUUGCAAAAACCCUAAGUCAUUGUUUUUGAAAAGAAAACAUUAUGCGAUAGAUACAUAUGCUAUGAUCUUCUGGAUGUUGAUGAACUUCACAUAUUGUAUGGAUUAUAUUAUUAUAUUUGAUUUUAUAUCUGUACAUGUGCAUUCAUAUUUGAUCAAUGUAAAUCUAUACAGGUAUUAUAGACAAUAUCACCAUGCCCUAUGUUAGAUCUCUAUUGUUUAAAGCGGCCAAAAUGUAAACUUCUCCCAUAUAGGAGUAAAUAUGCUUUACAAAUUUAGAACCGGUGUGGCCAACACACAAGAUUACUGCUCGUAAAGGUUUUCUAGGGUUAAAGUAGGGAAAUGCAGGUACACAGUUGAAAGUGCAUGGCCGGGACGCUAACCCCAGGCAAUGACACCUCGAGGAUCGAACCUGGACCUCUCGGCCACGAAACCAUGCGCCCCCAGCUGUGCUACGCCCUGAGGUCUUGUUUAAGACUAUCAAGAUAUUACUUCUUUUAGUUGUUAUCUUAAGCAAUUAAAAAUGGUUUUUUGUUGAGUUUCUUAUCCACGAUACUGAAUCUUCAUCCUUUAUCAUAAUGAUAGGAGCUUCCAAACUCGUCAUUAUCAUGUUCAUCAUCACCAAGCUUGGAGUUGACUACAAAAAUCUUAUUCCUAUGCUCUAUAUGCUUUUAUAUCACAACUAAUUAUGAUCUAAUCUUACCAAAAAGAUAAUUAAAUCCAUGUUUAUAAAGUUACUGAUGCAACAUCAAAAAUCGCACCACAAAAUCUCACACAACUCAACCCAUAGUAGAGGAAAAUAUUAAAUACAUGAGAUCUUUAUAUAUUCAAAAUAAAACCAAGUCACCAAAAAAGUCUAACUGAUCUCUAAAAUCAUAACCUACUUUUAAAAGUCUAAAUUUACCUUGAAAAAAUUAUAAUAAACUUUUAACAACUCUUAAAAAUUAUUUUAAAUUGAUUCCAAUCCUCAAACUGCAUCAGUUAGACAAUUUUGACACUCUCAUGUAACUUUAACCUUUUUCACAUUGUCUUGGGACAGGCACUGGUGGUUUUAAGAGCUUUCAACCUAAUAUCAUAUUGGGAUCUCCAUAAGUUUUCAUUUGAUGCAUUAAAUUUGAUAUUCUUUUCCUACUUUUUGUGGGUCAUAAAAGGUUGAGUUUUUCUUAAGCUGCUAAAAAUGGCACUAGCUGCAAGGUUGAAUCUGAGACUGCAGAAAGAACUUAAGCUGCUCAUGACUGACCCACCUCCAGGCGUUUCGUUUCCUUCACUUUCUGAUAAUCAGAACCAAUCAUCUCUUUCACUGCUUACCAUUGAGUCCUGCAUUUUCAUUGUGAAGAUCCAAAUCCCUGAAAGGUUGCUAGUAGUUUUGUUUUCUUUGGAAUCUUUAGAAAUACUUUUCUUCUUUCUUAUACUAGCCUAUCUUAUAAACUUUACUAAUAGACUUGGAGUUUUCAUAUGCAGAUAUCCAUUUCAGCCACCUAAUGUCACCUUUGUUACACCAAUUUACCAUCCCAACAUUGACAAUGGAGGGCGUAUUUGUCUUGAUAUUCUUAAUUUACCGCCAAAGGGUGCAUGGCAACCAUCAAUGAACAUCUCAACUAUUUUAACUAGCAUUCGUUUGCUACUGAGUGAGCCUAACCCAGAUGAUGCCUUAAUGGCUGAAAUUGGAGUAGUAGUACAAUAGGCAUGUAUUUGAACAGAAGGCCAGAACAUGGACCGAGAGAUUCACUAAUCCUGACAUUGCUGGGAAAAUUGAAAAUCAUGCUGUUUCAACAAGCCUAAAUAUGGUACCUUUAGAAGCUCAUGGAGGUUUAGUUCCAGAAAAUUCAGACCAAGGGAGGGACAGGAUGAGAAAGAAACUUCGCCUAUCAUUUACAAAACUGACAACAACACCAGUUAUGCCAUCUGGAAUGAACGACAAUGCUGAAAAGGAGGUUAUUGUACUGAAUAAUGAGAUAUUAGAUAUGCCAGCCAAACAGAGUGGCAGUAUGAGGAGGAAGCUUUAUUGAUAGUUCUAAGUAUAAAAAACAGUAAACACGAAAAUUGUAAACACUUACAGUGACCUUCCGUAGAUUUGCAAUCGGCACCGGUAAAACUUGUUGACGGAA